GAUUGGAUCAUUAAUGAGUCCUUAUGUUGACAAAGGGACUCAAUCAACGUUUAUGGAAUUGAUUUAAUGAACAGAUAAACUGAUUUUAGAUUCGUGAUAUGUAGGAAUGAGGAUGAUAUUUCAGUGGGACAUAUAUGGAUUCUGUUUCUAACUACAUAAGCCUUCUCUCUACAAUCCUCUUAAUAUCUUAAUAAACAUAAAAAAUAGCUACUAAGAGGAUAAUUUUACCUCAGCCUUUAAAAAAACCUGCCAGAUUGUUGUGAAUUGUCUCUCUCUUUUUUUCUUCCUAAAUUCUCAGGUUUUAUUAUUUAUGCACAUUUGUAUUCUUCUCCCCUUGAUACCACAAGACGUUGAGGCCUGUUUCUCCUGUCUUUCCUGCAUGAUCAGGGCCUGGGUAGUCUGUGUACCUCAGACGGAAUCAGGGAUCAAGGGAGCUGCCCCAUCGCUCUGUUCUGUGACAUGCUGCUAAAGGAUUGUGGGAGUUUCCUUGCCCUCAACCGGGAAGAUCUAGAAAAGACAGAUGGUUGCAGUUUCUGGAAGUGAGGAAGAUAAUUCUACCACUUCAGAAUCGCCAGCCCAGGACAUUUAAAAACCAAGGCACCGCUAAAGAAAAGAAGUUUCCUUCAGAGAUGAAUGUGUCCAAGAUAAAGGGUGAUGGCUUGAAGAAAGAACAAACACUCAUAGCUACACGACCCGUUAACACGAAAGAUCCAGAAACCAACCACUUCUGAUUUGGUUCCCUGCUGUUACUUAUUUAUGGAAGAUGGGUAAAUAGUGAAAUGUUAUAAAUAGUAAAAAAGAAAAAAAAAAGCUUUGUAUUGAAUUUGAUGAUGGAAAUUACA